GACGAACGCUGGCGGCGUGCCUAAUACAUGCAAGUCGAACGCAGUGGGGACGGGUUCGUAACACGUGGGUAACCUCCCCAUCAGCGGGGAGAACACUUGGCAACAGGUGCUAAACCGAUACUGAUGGAUGGACCCGCGGUGCAUUAGCUAGUUGGUGAGGUAACGGCUCACUAAGGGCAAGAUGCAUAGCCGACCUGAGAGGGGGACCGGCCACACUGGGACUGAGACACGGCCCAGACUCCGACGGUAGGCAGCAGUAGGGAAUUUUCGGCAAUGGACGAAAGUCUGACCGAGCAACGACGCGUGAGUGAAGAAGGUUUUCGGAUCGUAAAACGCUGUUGUUAGAGAAGCGGUAUCUAACCAGAAAGCCACGGCUAACUACGUGCCAGCAGCCGCGGUAAUAC
rnacentral:rRNA from 1 species